GCAACCUGGCGGCGAGUGGCGAACAGGGUGAGUCAAUAUAUCGGAACGUACCCAAGAGUGGGGGAUAACGUAGCGAAAGUUACGCUAAUACCGCAUACGAUCUAUGGAUGAAAGCAGGGGACCGCAAGGCCUUGUGCUCCUGGAGCGGCCGAUAUCUGAUUAGCUAGUUGGUAGGGUAAAGGCCUACCAAGGCUACGAUCAGUAGCUGGUCUGAGAGGACGACCAGCCACACUGGAACUGAGACACGGUCCAGACUCCUACGGGAGGCAGCAGUGGGGAAUUUUGGACAAUGGGCGCAAGCCUGAUCCAGCAAUGCCGCGUGAGUGAAGAAGGCCUUCGGGUUGUAAAGCUCUUUUGUCAGGGAAGAAACGGUGGAGGUUAAUACCUUCCNCUAAUGACGGUACCUGAAGAAUAAGCACCGGCUAACUACGUGCCAGCAGCCGCGGUAAUACGUAGGGUGCAAGCGUUAAUCGGAAUUACUGGGCGUAAAGCGUGCGCAGGCGGUUUUGUAAGUCUGUCGUGAAAGCCCCGGGCUCAACCUGGGAAUUGCGAUGGAGACUGCAAGGCUUGAAUCUGGCAGAGGGGGGUAGAAUUCCACGUGUAGCAGUGAAAUGCGUAGAGAUGUGGAGGAACACCGAUGGCGAAGGCAGCCCCCUGGGUCAAGAUUGACGCUCAUGCACGAAAGCGUGGGGAGCAAACAGGAUUAGAUACCCUGGUAGUCCACGCCCUAAACGAUGUCUACUAGUUGUCGGGUUUUAAUUAACUUGG
rnacentral:rRNA from 1 species